rnacentral:rRNA from 1 species
AGGCCUCUUCGGAGGUACUCGAGUGGCGAACGGGUGAGUAACACGUGGGUGAUCUGCCCUGCACUCUGGGAUAAGCCUGGGAAACUGGGUCUAAUACCGGAUAGGACCAUGCUUUAGUGUGUGUGGUGGAAAGUUUUUUCGGUGUAGGAUGAGCCCGCGGCCUAUCAGCUUGUUGGUGGGGUAAUGGCCUACCAAGGCGGCGACGGGUAGCCGGACUGAGAGGUUGGUCGGCCACAUUGGGACUGAGAUACGGCCCAGACUCCUACGGGAGGCAGCAGUGGGGAAUAUUGCACAAUGGGCGCAAGCCUGAUGCAGCGACGCCGCGUGGGGGAUGACGGCCUUCGGGUUGUAAACUCCUUUCGCCAGGGACGAAGCGUUUUGUGACGGUACCUGGAGAAGAAGCACCGGCUAACUACGUGCCAGCAGCCGCGGUAAUACGUAGGGUGCAAGCGUUGUCCGGAAUUACUGGGCGUAAAGAGCUCGU